rnacentral:rRNA from 1 species
UGUGCGCGAGUCAUGGGUCUUGAUAAGCCCGGCGGCGCAAUGAAAGUACAGGUCAGGAGGAGUCCGGCCGAAUUCGGGAUCCCCGCUCCCUCGCGGGCGGGGCGCACCGAAGACCCGCCGCGUUCCACUCGUGGAUGUGGCGGAGUUUGAGCGCACACGUUCCCACCCGAAAGAUGGCGAUCUAUGCCCGGACAGGACGAAGCCAGAGGAAACUCUGGUGGAGGUCCGUAGCGGUUCUGACGUGCAAAUCGAUCGUCAGAUCUGGGUCUAGCGGCGUAAGACUAAUCGAGCCAUCUA